rnacentral:misc_RNA from 1 species
GAUGAAGAACGCAGCGAAAUGCGAAAAGUAAUGUGAAUUGCAGAAUUCAGUGAAUCAUCGAAUCUUUGAACGCACAUUGCGCCCGCUGGUACUCCGGCGGGCACGCCUGUCCGAGCGUCAUUUCAACCCUCAAGCCCUCCUUCGGGAUGGGCCUGGUGUUGGGGCUCGGCCGCCAUCUCCGGCGGCCGUCCCCUAAAUACAGUGGCGGUCACGUCGCGACUCCUUUGCGUAGUAGAAACACCUCGCUCCGGAUAGCAACGCGGUCCACGCCGUAAAACCCCCAAUUUUCAAUGGUUGACCUCGGAUCAGGUGGGAAUACCCGCUGAACUUAAGCAUAUCAAUAGCGGAGGA